rnacentral:rRNA from 1 species
AGAGUUUGAUCAUGGCUCAGGACACGCUGGCGGCGUGCUUAACACAUGCAAGUCGAGCGGAAAGGCCCUUUCGGGGGUACUCGAGCGGCGAACGGGUGAGUAACACGUGAGUAAUCUGCCCUUGGCUUUGGGAUAACUACCGGAAACGGUGGCUAAUACCGGAUAUGACCAUGCUCGGCAUCGGGUGUGGUGGAAAGUUUUUCGGCCAGGGAUGUGCUCGCGGCCUAUCAGCUUGUUGGUGGGGUAAUGGCCUACCAAGGCUUCGACGGUAGCCGGCCUGAGAGGGUGACCGGCCACACUGGGACUGAGACACGGCCCAGACUCCUACGGGAGGCAGCAGUGGGGAAUAUUGGACAAUGGGCGGAAGCCUGAUCCAGCAACGCCGCGUGAGGGAUGACGGCCUUCGGUUGUAAACCUCUUUCAGUACCGACGAAGCGCCGAUGAUGGUGGUGACGGUAGGUACAGAAGAAGCACCGGCCAACUACGUG